rnacentral:tRNA from 1 species
GGUCCGGUAGUUCAGCUGGUUAGAACGCCUGCCUGUCACGCAGGAGGUCGAGGGUUCGAGUCCCUUCCGGAUCG